ACUCAAAUGAAUUGACGGGGACCCGCACAAGCGGUGGAGCAUGUGGUUUAAUUCGAGGCAACGCGAAGAACCUUACCAGCCCUUGACAUGGAUAGUUUGGUCGGCAGAGAUGCCUUCCUUCAGUUUGGCUGGCUAUCACACAGGUGCUGCAUGGCUGUCGUCAGCUCGUGUCGUGAGAUGUUGGGUUAAGUCCCGCAACGAGCGCAACCCUCACCCUCUGUUGCUAACAGGUUAUGCUGAGCACUCUGGGGGAACUGCCGGUGAUAAGCCGGAGGAAGGCGGGGAUGACGUCAAGUCUUCAUGGCCCUUAUGGGCUGGGCUACACACGUGCUACAAUGGCGGUGACAGAGGGUUGCUACUCCGCAAGGGGACGCUAAUCCUAAAAAACCGCCUCAGUUCGGAUUGCACUCUGCAACUCGAGUGCAUGAAGCUGGAAUCGCUAGUAAUCGCGGAUCAGCACGCCGCGGUGAAUACGUUCCCGGGUCUUGUACACACCGCCCGU
rnacentral:rRNA from 1 species